GCGGGCGUGGUGGAAUGGUAGACACACGGGACUUAAAAUCCCUUGGGCAUUGCCCGUGCCGGUUCGAGUCCGGCCGCCCGUA
rfam:Thioclava sp. 25B10_4, complete genome.